rnacentral:lncRNA from 1 species
AGGUGUGGUAUAAAGAGUUUGAUAGAUGACGCGUAACACUACCUUAUAAUAAUGGUUUAGAGAUUAAAUAUGUACAUGAAAAUAUGAAUGAUGUGUUUUACUUGUGAAAGUCUUAUGAGAUGAUUAUUUAAUAUUUAUAUGAUUAUGAAUUUAAGGGUUUGUUACGAGUUGACGAAGAGCGUGACAAAUUAAUGUGAUAAAAUAUUAUGAUGAGUUAAAUAAUAUUUGAAAUAUGUGUA